rnacentral:rRNA from 1 species
UAGGGAAUAUUGCGCAAUGGGCGAAAGCCUGACGCAGCGACACCGUGUGUAGGAUGAAGGUCUUCGGAUUGUAAACUACUGUCAGUUGAAGACGAAGGCAGUAGAGUUAAGAGCUCGAAUGUUGACGGUAUUCAAUUAGGAAGUCUCGGCUAACUCCGUGCCAGCAGCCGCGGUAAGACGGAGGAGGCAAGCAUUGUCCGGAAUUAUUGGGCGUAAAGAACACGUAGGCGGUUUAUCAAGUCAUAUGUGAAAACCUUGGGCUUAACUUAAGGAUUGCAUAUGAUACUGGUAAACUAGAGUAUAGUAGAGGAAAGCGGAAUUCCUGGUGUAGCGGUGAAAUGCGCAGAUAUCAGGAAGAACACCAGUGGCGAAAGCGGCUUUCUGGACUGUUACUGACGCUGAGGUGUGAAAGCUAGGGGAGCGAACAGG